rnacentral:lncRNA from 1 species
AAAGCGGGGUGAAGAGAGAAACUUGGGAGCAAGGCUCUAUGGGGGGUCCCCUCCUUGGAGAUUUAUUGUCAUGCAUAGGCUGAUGACCAGCAGCAGUCCAGCAAGAGAGGCAGCUGAGAGAGCCAGCCUUGUGGCCCAAGGCUGGCAUUGGAGUGGACCUUGAAUGAUGGUUCUUCUCUCCGAUGCUCCAGCAAUCCUGAGAGUGAAGAAGUGGAGCAUGCUCGGGACUUGGUGAACUUGUGGAAGUCUGAGGAAACUCGGAUUUGUGGCCUCUCCAGUGUGAGGCAGCCAUGGCUGGACGACUGACCUGGACCACACCCUAAGCCAAUCUAAUAAACCCUCCUUAAAUAUC